rnacentral:rRNA from 1 species
AGAUUGAACGCUGGCGGCAGGCCCAACACAUGCAAGUCGAGCGGUAGAGAGGUGCUUGCAUCUCUUGAGAGCGGCGGACGGGUGAGUAAUGCCUAGGAAUCUGCCUAGUGGUGGGGGAUAACGUUCGGAAACGGACGCUAAUACCGCAUACGUCCUACGGGAGAAAGCGGGGGACCUUCGGGCCUCGCGCCAUUAGAUGAGCCUAGGUCGGAUUAGCUAGUUGGUGAGGUAAUGGCUCACCAAGGCGACGAUCCGUAACUGGUCUGAGAGGAUGAUCAGUCACACUGGAACUGAGACACGGUCCAGACUCCGUACGGGACGCAAGCGAGGUAGGGGAAUAGUGGACAAGUGGGACGAAAGCCUAGAUCCAGCCAUCGCCGCGUGUAGU